GGGGUAGAAGCUCAGUGGUUGAGCAAUCGAUUGCAGUUCAAAGCGCGGAUCUCGAGCACACAACAAUCGAUAGGCCGUGUGUUCGAUCCACACCUGCCCCU
rnacentral:tRNA from 1 species